GCGCAAGCGCUAGUGUCCUUUCCCUAAGCUCAUACUAACACGCCAGUAAUCCGUGGAAUGCGAAGGUAGAAGGUGCUAUUUUUUUUUCGAAGGGACGCAGCAGACGAAGAAGCAUCGACAUUUGAGAAUCAAUGAUCGAUCAAAGAAAGAAGAUUGUCGUAGAAAAGAAGAACAUGGAUGAAGCAGGAUGAAGACGAGGCAUUCGAAUAUCGAGAUCAUAUAUGGAUCAGGCAGCUGCAUGAAAGUUACGGAGCGAAACUCGAUUAGGGACGUCUGGUGGAUGGCCGCGGGUCAAACCGUAGAAACGGUGGCAACUCGAGAAGUAACGAUGUUGGUACCGAUUCGACAACGGCCGAGGCUCAGCCGCAGUCGCAGUCGCAGUCGCAGUCCCAGUCACAGUCACAGUCACAGUCACAGUCACAGUCACAGU